UACGAAGGGGGCUAGCGUUGCUCGGAAUCACUGGGCGUAAAGCGCACGUAGGCGGAUUGUUAAGUCAGGGGUGAAAUCCUGGAGCUCAACUCCAGAACUGCCUUUGAUACUGGCGAUCUUGAGUCCGGGAGAGGUGAGUGGAACUGCGAGUGUAGAGGUGAAAUUCGUAGAUAUUCGCAAGAACACCGGUGGCGAAGGCGGCCAACUGGACCACAACUGACGCUGAGGCGCGAAAGCGUGGGGAGCAAACAGG
rnacentral:rRNA from 1 species